CCUACGGGAGGCAGCAGUGGGGAAUUUUCCGCAAUGGGCGAAAGCCUGACGGAGCAAUACCGCGUGAGGGAAGACUGCCUAUGGGUUGUAAACCUCUUUUUUCAGGGAGGAAUAAAAUGACGUGUACCUGAAGAAUAAGCAUCGGCUAACUCCGUGCCAGCAGCCGCGGUAAGACGGAGGAUGCAAGUGUUAUCCGGAAUCACUGGGCGUAAAGCGUCUGUAGGUGGUUUAAUAAGUCAACUGUUAAAUCUUGAGGCUCAACUUCAAAACCGCAGUCGAAACUAUUAGACUAGAGUAUAGUAGAGGUAAAGGGAAUUUCCAGUGGAGCGGUGAAAUGCGUAGAUAUUGGAAAGAACACCGAUGGCGAAAGCACUUUACUGGGCUAUUACUAACACUCAGAGACGAAAGCUAGGGUAGCAAAUGGGAUUAGAUACCCCAGUAGUCCUAGCCGUAAACUAUGGAUACUAGAUGUUGAACAGAUCGACCUGUGCAGUAUCAAAGCUAACGCGUUAAGUAUCCCGCCUGGGAAGUAUGCUCGCAAGAGUGAAACUCAAAUGAAUUGACGG
rnacentral:rRNA from 1 species